CAGCCGCCGCGGUAAUACGGAGGGGGCUAGCGUUGUUCGGAAUUACUGGGCGUAAAGCGUACGUAGGCGGCUUUGUAAGUUAGAGGUGAAAGCCUGGUGCUCAACACCAGAACUGCCUUUAAGACUGCAUCGCUCGAACGUCGGAGAGGUGAGUGGAAUUCCGAGUGUAGAGGUGAAAUUCGUAGAUAUUCGGAAGAACACCAGUGGCGAAGGCGGCUCACUGGACGACUGUUGACGCUGAGGUACGAAAGCGUGGGGAGCAAACAGGAUUAGAUACCCCUGUAGUCCCUGUCUCUUAUAA
rnacentral:rRNA from 1 species